UACGUAGGGCGCAAGCGUUGUCCGGAAUUAUUGGGCGUAAAGAGCUCGUAGGCGGCUUGUCACGUCGGGUGUGAAAGCCCGGGGCUUAACCCCGGGUCUGCAUUCGAUACGGGCUGGCUAGAGUGUGGUAGGGGAGAUCGGAACUCCUGGUGUAGCGGUGAAAUGCGCAGAUAUCAGGAGGAACACCGGUGGCGAAGGCGGAUCUCUGGGCCAUUACUGACGCUGAGGAGCGAAAGCCAGGGGAGCAAACGGG
rnacentral:rRNA from 1 species